UAGAGUUUGAUCCUGGCUCAGAUUGAACGCUAGCGGGAUGCCUUACACAUGCAAGUCGAACGGCAGCACGGACUUCGGUCNGGUGGCGAGUGGCGAACGGGUGAGUAAUGUAUCGGAACGUGCCCAGUAGCGGGGGAUAACUACGCGAAAGCGUAGCUAAUACCGCAUACGCCCUACGGGGGAAAGCAGGGGAUCGCAAGACCUUGCACUAUUGGAGCGGCCGAUAUCGGAUUAGCUAGUUGGUGGGGUAACGGCUCACCAAGGCGACGAUCCGUAGCUGGUUUGAGAGGACGACCAGCCACACUGGGACUGAGACACGGCCCAGACUCCUACGGGAGGCAGCAGUGGGGAAUUUUGGACAAUGGGGGAAACCCUGAUCCAGCCAUCCCGCGUGUGCGAUGAAGGCCUUCGGGUUGUAAAGCACUUUUGGCAGGAAAGAAACGUCGUGGGUUAAUACCCCGCGAAACUGACGGUACCUGCAGAAUAAGCACCGGCUAACUACGUGCCAGCAGCCGCGGUAAUACGUAGGGUGCAAGCGUUAAUCGGAAUUACUGGGCGUAAAGCGUGCGCAGGCGGUUCGGAAAGAAAGAUGUGAAAUCCCAGAGCUUAACUUUGGAACUGCAUUUUUAACUACCGGGCUAGAGUGUGUC
rnacentral:rRNA from 1 species